ACUUUUCAGCAAGUUUAAAAUUGAGUCUGAACCAUACGGAGAUUAGCAUGACCCCUGCGCAAGGAUGACACGCAAAUUCGUGAAGUGUUCCAUAUUUUU
rnacentral:snRNA from 1 species